UACGUAGGGGGCAAGCGUUGUCCGGAUUUAUUGGGCGUAAAGAGCGUGUAGGCGGCCAUACAGGUCCGUUGUGAAAACUGGAGGCUUAACCUCCAGACGUCGAUGGAAACCGUAUGGCUAGAGUCCGGAAGAGGAGAGUGGAAUUCCUGGUGUAGCGGUGAAAUGCGCAGAUAUCAGGAGGAACACCGAUGGCGAAGGCAGCUCGCUGGGACGGUACUGACGCUGAGGCGCGAAAGCGUGGGGAGCGAACAGG
rnacentral:rRNA from 1 species